GCGAAAGCCUGAUCCAGCAAUGCCGCGUGAGUGAUGAAGGCCUUAGGGUUGUAAAGCUCUUUUACCCGGGAUGAUAAUGACAGUACCGGGAGAAUAAGCUCCGGCUAACUCCGUGCCAGCAGCCGCGGUAAUACGGAGGGAGCUAGCGUUGUUCGGAAUUACUGGGCGUAAAGCGCACGUAGGCGGCUAUUCAAGUCAGAGGUGAAAGCCCGGGGCUCAACCCCGGAAUAGCCUUUGAAACUAGAUAGCUAGAAUCUGGGAGAGGUGAGUGGAAUUCCGAGUGUAGAGGUGAAAUUCGUAGAUAUUCGGAAGAACACCAGUGGCGAAGGCGGCUCACUGGCUCGAUACUGACGCUGAGGUGCGAAAGUGUGGGGAGCAAACAGGAUUAGA
rnacentral:rRNA from 1 species